UACGUAGGCAGCAAGCGUUGUUCGGAAUUACUGGGCGUAAAGAGUGUGUAGGCGGUGCUCUAAGUUCGGUGUGAAAUCUCCCGGCUCAACUGGGAGGGUGCGCCGAAAACUGGAGUGCUGGAGCGCGGGAGAGGAAAGCGGAAUUACCUUCGGGUGUAGCGGUGAAAUGCGUAGAUAUCAGGAGGAACACCGGCGGUGUAGACGGCUUUCUGGACCGUAGCUGACGCUGAGACACGAAAGCGUGGGUAGCAAACAGG
rnacentral:rRNA from 1 species